rnacentral:rRNA from 1 species
UACAGAGGGUGCGAGCGUUAAUCGGAAUUACUGGGCGUAAAGCGCGCGUAGGCGGCUUUGCAAGUCGGGUGUGAAAUCCCCAGGCUUAACCUGGGAACUGCAUUCGAGACUGCAUUGCUAGAGUAUGGGAGAGGGAAGUGGAAUUUCCGGUGUAGCGGUGAAAUGCGUAGAUAUCGGAAGGAACAUCAGUGGCGAAAGCGACUUCCUGGACCAAUACUGACGCUGAGGAGCGAAAGCCAGGGGAGCAAACGGGG